rnacentral:rRNA from 1 species
AUUGAACGCUGGCGGCAGGCUUAACACAUGCAAGUCGAGCGGGGUGAGGUGCUUCGGUACUGAUCCUAGCGGCGGACGGGUGAGUAAUGCUUAGGAAUCUGCCAUUUAGUGGGGGACAACAUUCCGAAAGGGAUGCUAAUACCGCAUACGUCCUACGGGAGAAAGCAGGGGAUCUUCGGACCUUGCGCUAAAUGAUGAGCCUAAGUCGGAUUAGCUAGUUGGUGGGGUAAAGGCCUACCAAGGCGACGAUCUGUAGCGGGUCUGAGAGGAUGAUCCGCCACACUGGGACUGAGACACGGCCCAGACUCCUACGGGAGGCAGCAGUGGGGAAUAUUGGACAGUGGGCGGAAGCCUGAUCCAGCCAUGCCGCGUGUGUGAAGAAGGCCUUUUGGUUGUAAAGCACUUUAAGCGAGGAGGAGGCUACCUGGAUUAAUACUCUAGGAUAGUGGACGUUACUCGCAGAAUAAGCACCGGCUAACUCUGUGCCAGCCGCCGCGGUAA